ACCGCCCCCCGUUUCCCCCAGGGCGCCCGAGGUCUCCCCGGAACCGCCGGCCUGCCGGGCAUGAAGGGACACAGGGGUUUCAGCGGUCUGGAUGGUGCCAAGGGUGAGCCCGGACCUGCCGGCCCCAAGGGAGAGCCCGGCAGCCC